GACGAGCGCUGGCGGCGUGCUUAACACAUGCAAGUCGAGCGGUAAGGCCCUUUCGGGGGUACGACGAGCGGCGAACGGGUGAGUAACACGUGGGUGACCUGCCCUCAGCUCUGGGAUAAGCCCGGGAAACUGGGUCUAAUACCGGAUAUGACUUCAUGACGCAUGUUGUGGAGUGGAAAGCCUUGUGCGGCUGAGGAUGGGCCCGCGGCCUAUCAGCUUG
rnacentral:rRNA from 1 species